rnacentral:rRNA from 1 species
AAACCGUUGAAAGGGAAGCGAAUGGAGUUAGCAAUUCGCCCUGUCAGAUUCAGCCGCUCGCGCUUCGCGACGCGCGCGUUCUCGAUCCGCAUGGACGAGGCGCGUGCGGACGCGUCGUGCGGACGGCGCACUUCUGGCGGGCGAGCGUCAGCGUCGGUUGUCGCCGGGCGAAAAGGACGCGAGGAAGGUGGACAGUCCUUCGGGACCGUUGUUAAGCCUCGCGCUCGUACGGCUCGACGGCGACCGUGGCUCUCGUUUCAUCGCGAGAGGCGACGCGUGCCUUGGCUGGCGACUCGUGCGAUCGGUCCGACAUGUCGACUGUGGCGGACGGCACGCCUGUGCGCUCGAACCGCUGCCGGUCGUUCGCGCGAUGUUCGCACACUACGCGUCGAAGAUGCUGACGGCCAUACGGCUCCAUCCGACCCGUCUUGAAACACGGACCAAGGAGUCUAACAUGUGCGCGAGUCUCCGGGUGAUCGAAACCCGUGGGCGCAAUGAAAGUAAAGGUCGUCUCGGACGGCCGAGGUGAGAAGCGGGCAUCUCUGCUCGCCGCAUCAUCGACCGACCUCUUCUGCUCUCAGGAAGGUUUGAGUAAGAGCGUAUCUGUUGGGACCCGAAAGAUGGUGAACUAUGCCUGAAUAGGGUGAAGUCAGCGGAAACACUGAUGGAAGCUCG